rnacentral:rRNA from 1 species
CACGUAGGGGGCGAGCGUUGUCCGGAAUUACUGGGCGUAAAGGGCGCGCAGGCUGUUAUGCGAGUCUGCUGUGAAAUGUACCGGCUCAACCGGUGCCUUGCGGCGGAUACUGCAUAGCUGGAGUACUGGAGAGGGAAGUGGAAUUCCCGGUGUAGCGGUGAAAUGCGUAGAUAUUAGGAGGAACACCAGUGGCGAAGGCGACUUACUGGACUGUAACUGACGCUGAGUCACGAAAGCGUGGGUAGCAAACAGGAUUAGAUA